rnacentral:rRNA from 1 species
AAGAUUAAAAAGCAUAUAUUAUUUAUAAAAUCAAAAGAUUUUUGCGGUAUUCUAAGCUUUUUAGAGGAAUUUGCUCUGUAAUUGAUAUAACACCAAUAUCUUACUUAGAUUGGUUAGGCAGUUUGUAUAUCGCUAUUUUAAAAUUAUAUUGACUGAUUAUGAUUAGGAUAGAAUUUAUCAAGAAUAUUAGGUCAAGAUGCAAUAUAUAUUUAAGGUUGAAGUGAGUUAUGAUAAUUUUUAUUGGUGGAAAUGAAAUUGAUUUUUAAGAUUUAAAAGUAAAAUAAUAUUAUAAUGUUUAUUUGAAUUAAGCUCUAGAAUAUGUACAUAUCGCCCGUCGCUCUCAGUUGUGAGAUAAGUCGUAACAUAG